AUGGUCUCAGAGGCGUAUAACAACCGUGCGGAGUACGACAAGUCUUUGCAUGAAGCGCGUCGGGAGAUCGACUUGAAGGUGCAAAAGGAUCGCGCUGAGGUAGAUAAGAAACUGAAAAAAGAAUGUUCAUACGUGGACAGGAUGAUAAAGGAGGAGCGUCAGGAGUUUUCCCUUAAGAUGGCGAAGAUGCGUCUUGAGAUUGAAGAAAAGUAUAAGAGGGACUGUGAGUACAUGGAAAAAAAGUUUUUCUUAGGCUACAAGGAAAUGCAUCAAACGUUGCAGAAGGACCGGAAGCUUGUGGACAGUAUUAUAUAG
rnacentral:rRNA from 1 species